GUCAGUGUCUACCCAGCAGCAGUAGCGCACUCCUGUCCGGGACACUGCUCCAGUCCCGCAGCAGGUAUUUGCCAGUCGCCAUGAUGAGACAAACAUACCACAACAUUUGCCAUGAGUACAACCACCCAACAUUGGCAUCUACGAAAGAAGGUGGUACAAAGCAUACAAGGACCCAGCAAGACGUUAGCAAGAAACACUGUGGUUGUUUGCUGAAACUUGUAAUGAAAGCUAUACACACAAUUUAAGGAGCAAAUGACUGGAUCAGAUGGGUGUGAUGCAAACAAUUCCAUCUGUGUGGACAUGAUGAAAUGGACAUGUCCAAUCCAUGGUUAGCAGAAGGUGGCGAUGCUCAGAGCUCUGCAGCAAGUGAUUGAAUC